UUCAGUUGCGGGAAUUUAGCCAAUUCAGAGGUCUUGUUCUCCAUAAUCUGGAACUUUCCUUCAGAUUUGAUCAAGUUGGAUAAAGUUGGUCAAACCCAAUGGGAAAAAGAUGAAAACAACAAGAAACAGAAACAAACAACAACAACAACAACAAAACAAGGGCAGCAGCCACCCACAAAUCAACAGCUGGACAAAGCCAGGGCUGUGCGGGAGCUAUGCACAGGUUCUGCCUCCAGAAGCCUUCAGUGCCAGCCUCUGAGCCAGAGGGUUCCAAGCAGAAGAGGUCCCACCCCUGGAGAAGAACCUCAGAGAGGUCCUCCAAGCCCCUCUCAGCUCUUACUUACGGCAUCCCAGAUGCCCUAUUCCUCUUCUGCAGACAGAAGGUGGGUCAGCCACUAAAUGGUGCUCGGACCUUGCAGCUUGGUGGGAAGGAGGAAGCUUAUUCAAGCAAGGAAGAUGACACAGGCAAAAACCGACGCAUAAGC
rnacentral:antisense_RNA from 1 species